GAGUUUGAUCAUGGCUCAGAUUGAACGCUGGCGGCAUGCCUUACACAUGCAAGUCGAGCGGCAGCGCGGGGGCAACCCUGGCGGCGAGCGGCGAACGGGUGAGUAAUACAUCGGAACGUGUCCAGUAGUGGGGGAUAACCAGUCGAAAGAUUGGCUAAUACCGCAUACGAUCUACGGAUGAAAGCGGGGGACCUUCGGGCCUCGCGCUGCGGGAGCGGCCGAUGUCGGAUUAGCUAGUUGGUGGGGUAAAGGCCUACCAAGGCGACGAUCCGUAGCUGGUCUGAGAGGAUGAUCAGCCACACUGGGACUGAGACACGGCCCAGACUCCUACGGGAGGCAGCAGUGGGGAAUUUUGGACAAUGGGGGCAACCCUGAUCCAGCCAUGCCGCGUGAGUGAAGAAGGCCUUC
rnacentral:rRNA from 1 species